rnacentral:lncRNA from 1 species
AUUCUUGCUUUUGCUCUCAGGGGAUUCAUCUGAAAUAGUACAUAGACCAUGCAUCUACACCAAGAGAAAGGUGCUGAGAGGACCGCCGUGAUCGUGUUCGUGAUAUUGACCUCUUUGUCCUCUUCAGAUCUUUUUGCGGUCUGGGCUUGCUGUUAACACACCUCAACCCAGGAAGCCCUUACCCCAAAAAGCAUCUGCAGUCGACCUUAGCAUCACAAGCUAUUCUCUACAAUGUUGUGGAACGCAAAUCCGCAGUCAUCUAGCAGACUCCCAUCCAGAGAGACCCACAGGAGCAACCAGAGUCAACCGCCCCGCCCAAGGGCACAUCGACAGAUCCUCCACCCAGUCGACUUGGGGACCUGAACCAGUGACCUCUCCACCACUGGGCCAAUGCUCCCAACCGCCAGGCCACCCACUGCCCCAAAUCAUCCAAGAUCACCCCACAGUUCCCCCUGAAAAACCUCCCCCUCCAAGCCACCAUCCCCUUCCAACCAAACCAAAGCAACUACCCACCUGAUGCGCCAGGUCCACCCACUGGGGAGCCAAGCAUAGUCAAUCAGAAGGAUUUCUUCACCCACAAAAGGACUUUAUUACAAACAGAAAUACUCCUCAGCAUCCCCCCUCCCCCUCCUCAGACGAUCCCGCAGGUGAAGAAGUCAGAUGUGGAGGUCCUGGGCUGGAUUGCUUACACGUGGUUCUGCGUUGUGAGGCCAGUUGAAUGUAUUGCCAAAUUCUCUAAAGAGAAAUUAACAUUCAAUUCUCUGGCAACAGCUCUGUUGGACAUUCCUCCAGUUAGCAUGCUAAUUGCACAGUCCCUCAAAACUUAAGACAUGUUAGGCAUUGUGUUGUGUGACAAAACUGUACAUGUUAGUGGCCUUUUAUUGUCCUCAACACAAGGUGCACCUGUGUAAUGAUCAUGCUGUUUAAUCAGCUUCUUGAUAUGCCACACGUGUCAGGUGGAUGGAUUAUCUUGGCAAAGGAGAAAUGCUCAC